UGGGGAAUUUUGGACAAUGGGCGAAAGCCUGAUCCAGCAAUGCCGCGUGUGUGAAGAAGGCCUUCGGGUUGUAAAGCACUUUUGUCCGGAAAGAAAUCCUUGGCUCUAAUACAGUCGGGGGAUGACGGUACCGGAAGAAUAAGCACCGGCUAACUACGUGCCAGCAGCCGCGGUAAUACGUAGGGUGCAAGCGUUAAUCGGAAUUACUGGGCGUAAAGCGUGCGCAGGCGGUUUGCUAAGACCGAUGUGAAAUCCCCGGGCUCAACCUGGGAACUGCAUUGGUGACUGGCAGGCUAGAGGUAUGGCAGAGGGGGGUAGAAUUCCACGUGUAGCAGUGAAAUGCGUAGAGAUGUGGAGGAAUACCGAUGGCAAAGGCAGCCCCCUGGGCCAAUACUGACGCUCAUGCACGAAAGCGUGGGGAGCAAACAGGAUUAGAUACCCUGGUAGUCCACGCCCUAAACGAUGUCAACUAGUUGUUGGGGAUUCAUUUCCUUAGUAACGUAGCUAACGCGUGAAGUUGACCGCCU
rnacentral:rRNA from 1 species